GUGCUCUCUUUGGCAGCACAUAUACUAAAAUUAGAAUGAUACAGAGAUUAGCAUGGGCCCUGCACAAGGAUGACACGCAAAUUCAUGAAGCGUUCUGUAUUUUU